UGGGCAAGAUCCGGGCUGGGAGGUCUACAGAGCCUGGCCAGGCACACGGCGGAGGGGAUUGGACAAGUCCCGGCUUCCUGGCUCAAGUCCGGACAGGUCCUGGGUCUCUGGGCCCUCGCAUUUUCCUCUUGGAAAUGAUUUUUAGGACCUCGUUCAGCCCUGAGCUGGUCACGAACUAAUCACGUGUUACAAGCUCCAACUGAAAAUUACCAGGAAGAAAUUACAGAGGACUUGUCAAAGUCCAUGUCCUGGGGUGAAGUUUGUCAUCGUCGUGCUGCCAUGGAGACAGACCUGUUGCAUCACGUGGAGCACUGUUUCAGACCCUGCCCGAGAAACGCAAGGGGCGUGGCUGGCUGUUCAUUUUCUGUCUUUCUUCUAAUCUAUCUGUUUUGGGUAAACACUCGUCUGGUCUGCGAGCUGAGAGGGGGCGCCCUCAAGUUUCACCUGUGCGGCUCCCAGGGAGCUCCUCCCGCCCUCCCUCCGGCAGGCCGCGGGCGAGGGCAGGCGCAGGGCCCGACGGCCGACGCAGCGCCGCGCCCACUCACCUCGGCGAUCCGGGCCCGCUGCUCGCGCGCCGCGGCGUCGGCCGGCUCGCGGUUGUCCACGCCCACGGGCGGCGCGAAGUGCAGCACCGGCAGCCCGCGCUCCGGCUCCGACUCGCGCCGCUGGUCGCGGGCCACCUCCGCCUUGUCGCGCAGGAUGUCCCUCCGGAUCUCCUCGGGCGGCUUCUGCAGCGUGUCCUUGGCCUCGCGCAGCGCGCGCUCGUGGUUCUCGCGGAUGCGGGCCAGGGGGUCCUGGGCGCGCGGGCCGGGGCCGGGGCCGGGCCCGGGCCGGGGGGCGGCGGGCGGCGCGGCGUGGAACAGCACCCCGCUGAGCAGCUUGGAGGGGUCGGGCAGGAAGAAGAUCGCGCCGAAGCACAGCGUGGCGAAGGCGCUGAACACCAGCAGCAGCGCGAACUUCUCGCUCAGGCGGAAGGCGGCGGCGCCCGCGCCCUUCCUGCCGCCCGCGCCCGCGCCCGGCGCCCUGGCCCGCGCUCCGCUGGGCCCCCGAGCAGCGGCAGCAGCGGCCCCGCGGGCAUCGUAGCCGUCAGCGCAUGCGGGGCUCCACGGCAGGCGGGGCAGGCGGCCGGGCGCGCAGCCUGCGGGACGGACGGGCGCGGCGGUCGGGCGGGGACCCCGCACCCCCGACGGCCGCGCCGCGCCCGGCCGGGAAGUUCCGCCGGGCUCUGCGGCCCCGGGCUGCCGCGAGCGCCGGGCGCGCCUGCGAGCGAGGCAGCCUGGGCGGUCAGCCCCGAGCCCCGGCGCCCCGCCCGAGGCCCAUGUCAGUGGCUCCCGCUCCUCCGCGGCUCCCCCGCUGCUCCGCAGGCGCCGAGCUGCACCGCUGCUGGAGCGCCGAGCUCUACCGCGGCCGGCUCGGGGCGGGGCGGGGCGCCGGAGUGACAGCGCGGCCGGCCAAUGCGCGCAGCGCGGGGUCCCGCGGGGGCGGGGCUGGGGCGGAGGGGCGGGGCGGGCAGGCGCUUACGGGAAGCGGGGCGGGGGAGGGGCCGGGCGCGGAGGGCGGGGCCCAGGGACGUCACCUGGACUGGGCUCCGCGGGGUCCCGGGUGCUGGGUCCUGGGUGGCGCAGAAGCGCUCCGGGAGGCUCAGGACCCCGGGUCCCUGGACCCCUGGACCCCUGGCUUUCUAGACCCCUGGACCCCUGGUUCCCCGGCCUCCUGUACCCCUGCAUCCCUCGGUCCCUGGACCCCUGGACCCCCGGAUUUCCUAGACCCCCGGACCCCUGGAUUUCCUAGACUCCUAGACCCCUAGCCUCCUGGACCCCUGGACUCCUGGGCCCCUGGAACCCUGUACCCUGGACCCCUGCAUCCCCUGAGCCCCCCGGACGCCCUUGGCCCCUGAAGACAGCGGACCCCUGCCGCCCCUGGAUUCCCCACACUCCUCGGUCCCUGAACCCCGAGCUCCCUGGCCCCGCGGGGCCCUGUCCCCCUCCGCGCCCGCUCCCCUCCUGCCCGAAAAGUUGUGCGUCCCCGCCGGCCGCCGACUUUCGGGCGCCCUUACCUCGUGGCAGUUGCUUAGAUUUUCCAUCGCGAGCGGCUUCAGCUGCCUGCGCCCCGGCCGCGCGCCGAGCCCGAGGAGGAGGCGAAGUCUGGGCCGCUCCUCCGCGGUGACGGCCGGGUCGGGGCGCUCGCCUAGCUCGCAGCCUCGCUCCCGUGGCGCCCGGCGCUCAGGGUGCCAUGGAGACGGCGCCGCCCCCGGCCCUCGGGGUGGGCUGGGCGGGGCACCUGUGGCCGGCCGCGCGCGUGUGCGCGCCUGCGUGUGCGCGCGCGCGUGGUGUUGGGGGACAACAUGGUUUCCCCAAAAGUGUCCCCGCUCCCCAGUUCCUCCCGCGGCGGCAUCAGCGCGGCCGUCUCACCCCAGGGAGACGACCCUGCCUCGGCCUCGAAGUCCGCUCGCAGGACCGCGCCCCUUGGGAAAGCGGGAGGCCCCAGCGCCCACGCGAAAGGAGCCGUCCUGCCCUCACGUCCUCUCUGGUGGAAACGGCGGCUCGCGAGGCCGACUUCGGGACCUGUGUUUGGGUCCCUGCAAGAAAUCCUGCGUCCAGGAGAGUGCAGUGCAUCCAAGCAGGGCAGCGAACUAGGACUGGCUCAGAAGAAAGCGAACUUCUAAGUGAUGGCAAGGUAAUCUUCGCCUGGAGUGCGUUUGCGGGCGGGGAUCGGGCCAAACGUUAGACUCUCGGGAAAUAACGCUGGUUUCCAGUCAGUUCGCGCGAACUCGGGCGCGUGGACGGCGCUCGGGCCUGGAGGACCCCGGGCCUCGGUGGUUACCCGAGAACCCAGCGCCCUGCAGUCGUCGUUUCAAAAGUUGUCCUGGCAAUGGGAUUACUUCUUGUAGCCACCGAAACAUGUAGAGACUUCAAUUUCAGAGGUUUCUUGUGAUCGACGCCCGGUGUAAUAAAUCGCUCCACAAGACCCUGGCUUGGCUGGCUCGCGGUUCACAUUCAAGGUACCAGGUGUGUUGCGCGUGACGCUCUGUCCCCGGGGAGGGGAAGCAGCGAGCGGCCCACGCGUGGCAGGCGGAAGCUGGCCCUUGGCCCUGAUUUCACCGGCCAAGCAGUUUACAUUCUGUUGUUGAAACAAAUGUUUUGUACCAGAGGGCAAUUACGUCGGGCGUGGUGAGGGAAGUGCUGUGGGAUUCUAAAGAGGAAGAGCAUGUGUAAUACCUAGGGUUUGCAUUCCCUGAGAAGAGCGGCCUCGGACAGACGGAACACACCUGAGCUCCUUUUCACCCCUUACCCUGGAUCUGGUCCCCUUCCCCUCUGAGGAAGAUCUAUCUCCCUAUUUCCUAUUAUCUAUCUUUCAUUUUGAUUCUUAUUUAAACUUUUCUCUCCAUUCUGUCUCAUAAAAGAUCAUAUGGUUUUCUGGAAAAACAAAACGAACUCAGAAAGUGAAAAAAAUUUGUAAUACAUUAUUCUGGCCUCUUGGAAUUUUUUUCAUGAAAUAAAGUGAAAUGAAACCACAUGUGUUUGUUCGUAUUUUGGAGAAACCGUCUACAACUGGAACAUGACAGUGCUUGGCUUCCCACUUCCAUUGCAAAACAAAUUCACUGCCUCCACUCAGUGUCCGGAGUUCCUCAUCAUCCUCGGGGCGGAAUGUGGCCCCAGCCCCAGGUUUCCGUAAAUGCACGAGGAUUCACCCAUGGCUCUUUGUCCACUGAACUUAGUUUUCGGUGAGAGAAACACAGUGCCUGGAAUGCACGGAUCCAUCUAGAGGCAAGGGCGAGAGGGGAGCUGUGUUCCAACAGCACUUGGACGGAUUAAACCGAUGGGGCGUGGGGAGAGAGAUGCCUGGAACAGUCCACAUACGGCUUCUUUAAAUGUGCUCAGUUUGAGCUGCUGCAUCUGGCUCUUAGAUCAUAAACAUUUUUAUUGAUUUAUUUUGGUGGUGCUGAGUCCAGGGCCCCAUGAACGUGAGGCAAGCACCGAGCUACAUCUCCAGCUCUUUUUCUGCUUGAGACAGG
ensembl:lncRNA